rnacentral:rRNA from 1 species
UACGUAGGGGGCAAGCGUUGUCCGGAUUCAUUGGGCGUAAAGAGCUCGUAGGCGGCUUGGCAAGUCGGGUGUGAAACCUCCAGGCUCAACCUGGAGACGCCACCCGAUACUGCCAUGGCUAGAGUCCGGUAGGGGACCACGGAAUUCCUGGUGUAGCGGUGAAAUGCGCAGAUAUCAGGAGGAACACCGGUGGCGAAGGCGGCAUCCUGGACCAAUACUGACGCUGAGGAGCGAAAGCCAGGGGAGCAAACGGG